AGAUAAUCGAUUAUCUGGCAAUAAAUUGCAGAAACGUUUUGUUUUCUGGCAGUUUAAUGAGGACAUAAUGUACAAUUAAUUAAAGAAACAUUUUUUAUCAUUAAUAGAAACAUUUUUUAAGUUUUCAGAUUUUAAUUGUACAUUAAUAAUAUGUCAACUAAUAUUCAGUUUUUCAAUUAUUAAUGUUUUGUACAUUAAUAUUCAGUUUUUAAGAUUAAAGUUUUGUCCAUUAUGGAUUAAGAUUUUAAUAUUCAGAUUUUACAUGUCAAACCAUGUAACUUUUCAGUUAAGAUUCAAUAUAUGACUUAAAGAACUAAUUAGUUUUGCAUAUAAUAUUUUAAAUUAGUCA
rnacentral:lncRNA from 1 species